rnacentral:rRNA from 1 species
CCUACGGGUGGCAGCAGUGGGGAAUAUUGGACAAUGGGGGGAACCCUGAUCCAGCGACGCCGCGUGAGUGAAGAAGUAUUUCGGUAUGUAAAGCCCUAUCAGCAGGGAAGCAAGAAAUGACGGUCCCUGACUAAGAAGCGUCGGCUAACCACGUGCCUGCAGGCGCGGUAAUCCGUAGGCGGCAAUCGUUAUCCGGAUUUACUGGGUGUAAAGGGUGCGUAGGCGGGGAUGCAAGUCUGAAGGGAAAGGCGGGGGCCCAACCUCCGGACUGCUUUGGAAACUGGAUGGCUGGAGUGCGGGAGAGGUAAGUGGAAUGCCUGGUGUAGCGGUGAAAUGCGUAGAUAUUAGGAGGAACACCAGUGGCGAAGGCGGCUUACUGGACUGUAACUGACGUUGAGGCUCGAAAGCGUGGGGAGCGAACAGGAUUAGAUACCCCAGUAGUC